GACGAACGCUGGCGGCGUGCUUAACACAUGCCAGUCGAACGGAAAGGCCCUGCUUUUGUGGGGUGCUCGAGUGGCGAACGGGUGAGUAACACGUGAGUAACCUGCCCUUGACUUUGGGAUAACUUCAGGAAACUGGGGCUAAUACCGGAUAGGAGCUCCUGCUGCAUGGUGGGGGUUGGAAAGUUUCGGCGGUUGGGGAUGGACUCGCGGCUUAUCAGCUUGUUGGUGGGGUAGUGGCUUACCAAGGCUUUGACGGGUAGCCGGCCUGAGAGGGUGACCGGCCACAUUGGGACUGAGAUACGGCCCAGACUCCUACGGGAGGCAGCAGUGGGGAAUAUUGCACAAUGGGCGGAAGCCUGAUGCAGCAACGCCGCGUGCGGGAUGACGGCCUUCGGGUUGUAAACCGCUUACGCCUGUGACGAAGCGUGAGUGACGGUAAUGGGUAAAGAAGCACCGGCUAACUACGUG
rnacentral:rRNA from 1 species